AAGGAUGGCUGCAGGGUGCCUGCUGUAGUGUUCACCACACUAAGGGGCCGCCAGCUCUGUGCACCCCCAGACCAGCCCUGGGUAGAACGCAUCAUCCAGAGACUGCAGAGGACCUCAGCCAAGGCAAGCCUGGCCCUCCCUGGCCCUGUCUCCUCCCUCUGAGCUCCUGUCUAAGAUUCCAGCCCAUGAUCCCUCCUCUCCUUCCUCCUCUAGAUGAAGCGCCGCAGCAAUUAACCUAUGACCAUGCAGAGGGAGCCCGGAGUCCAAGUGAAGCAUUGUGAAUUAUUACCUAACCUGGGGAACCGAGGACCAGAAGGAAGGACCAGGCUUCCAGCUCCUCUGCACCAGACCUGACCAGCCAGGACAGGGCCUGGGGUGUGUGUGAGUGUGAGUGUGAUCGAGAGGGUGAGUGUGGUCAGAGUAAAGCUGCUCCACCCCCAGAUUGCAAUGCUACCAAUAAAGCCACCUGGUGUUUACAACU
rnacentral:sRNA from 1 species